AUUGAACGCUGGCGGCAUGCUUUACACAUGCAAGUCGAACGGCAGCGCGGGCUUCGGCCUGGCGGCGAGUGGCGAACGGGUGAGUAAUACAUCGGAACGUGCCCAGUAGUGGGGGAUAGCUCGGCGAAAGCCGGAUUAAUACCGCAUACGGCCUGAGGGGGAAAGCGGGGGAUCUUCGGACCUCGCGCUAUUGGAGCGGCCGAUGGCAGAUUAGCUAGUUGGUGGGGUAAAGGCCUACCAAGGCGACGAUCUGUAGCUGGUCUGAGAGGACGACCAGCCACACUGGGACUGAGACACGGCCCAGACUCCUACGGGAGGCAGCAGUGGGGAAUUUUGGACAAUGGGCGAAAGCCUGAUCCAGCAAUGCCGCGUGUGUGAUGAAGGCCUUCGGGUUGUAAAGCACUUUUGGCGGGAACGAAAAGGACUGUGCCAAUACCACGGUUCGAUGACGGUACCCGCAGAAUAAGCACCGGCUAACUACGUG
rnacentral:rRNA from 1 species